GAAGAGCUUGUGUCCAGGAAAACUGUAGGGGGAGACUGGGCUGACUUCGGAGCUGCUCUAAGGACUGUCAGCAAAAUAGUGGUGUCUUAUGGAGGAACACAACCCUGGUUACUUCUCAUCUUAGUUUAGAAUUCACAAAUCUACACAAAUGAGAUUGGUUCUAUGCUGCUCUCCAAUGGCACAGUCCUUCCUCUGCGUUUGAUGUCUGUGGCAAUAUAUACUUGUAUGGACUCUGAGAUUUGAAAACAGG